rnacentral:rRNA from 1 species
GCUAGUAUGAAUGGAUAUAUGAAAUUUAUAGCUGUCUCUUAUUUAAUUUAUAUAAAUUUAUCUUUUAGGUGCAGAAGACCUAAAUACUGAAGAAAGACAAAAAGACCCUAUUCGAUCUUUAUUUUUAUUAGAUUUAUUUAGAUUUAUUUACUUAUAAACUAUAAAAAAAUUUGGUUGGGGCGACAUAGAAAUACAUAAAUCUUUCUUUUAAUUUAAGAGUUAUAAUUCUUUUUAAGGAUCUAUUUUUUAAUAAACAGAAAUAGUUACCAUAGGGAUAACAGGCUAAUUCUUUUGGAGAGUUCAAAUUGAUAAAAGAGUUUGGCACCUCGAUGUUGGCUUAAGAUAUCCUGAAGGUGUAGCAGCUUUCAAGGGUUGGUUUGUUCAACCAUUAAAAUCU